CCUACGGGUGGCAGCAGUGGGGAAUAUUGGGCAAUGGGCGCAAGCCUGACCCAGCAACGCCGCGUGAAGGAAGAAGGCUUUCGGGUUGUAAACUUCUUUUCUCAGGGACGAAGAAAGUGACGGUCCCUGAGUAAUAAGCCACGGCUAACUACGUGCCAGCAGCCGCGGUAAUACGUAGGUGGCAAGCGUUAUCCGGAUUUACUGGGUGUAAAGGGCGUGUAGGCGGGAGCGCAAGUCAGAUGUGAAAACUCAGGGCUCAACCCUGAGCCUGCAUUUGAAACUGUGUUUCUUGAGUGCGGGAGAGGCAAUCGGAAUUCCGGGUGUAGCGGUGAAAUGCGUAGAUAUACGGAGGAACACCAGUGGCGAAGGCGGAUUGCUGGACAGUAACUGACGCUGAGGCGCGAAAGCGUGGGGAGCAAACAGGAUUAGAUACCCCAGUAGUC
rnacentral:rRNA from 1 species